rnacentral:misc_RNA from 1 species
GUAGGUGAACCUGCGGAGGGAUCAUUACUGAGAUAGGGUCUUCCAAGGCCCGACCUCCAACCCAAUGUCUACCAUACCUCUGUUGCCUCGGUGGGCCGCCGGCGCUCCUCACGGGGCGCCGCCGUCGGCUUUCGGGCUCUCGAGCGCCCACCGCAGGACCGAUUAAACUCUUUUUAAAACAAGUCUUCUGAGUGGGAAAUUAAAUUUAUUAAAACUUUUAACAACGGAUCUCUUGGUUCUG